UUGGCCCUGAGUCAAGGCCAGCAGUUUGCUGAAGCUGUUGGUUUAAAGCAGGAGUCUCAAGAAAUGUCUUUCUACUGGCUACGUCAGUUGGUAGAAAAUGCA
rnacentral:snoRNA from 1 species